rnacentral:rRNA from 1 species
GAACUUAGCUUAGUGGCGGACGGGUGAGUAACGCGUGAGUAACCUGCCUUUCAGAGGGGGAUAACGUUCUGAAAAGAACGCUAAUACCGCAUAAUAUAUUGGUGUCGCAUGGCACCGGUAUCAAGGGAGCAAUCCGCUGAAAGAUGGACUCGCGUCCGAUUAGCCAGUUGGCGGGGUAAAGGCCCACCAAAGCGACGAUCGGUAGCCGGGUUGAGAGACUGAACGGCCACAUUGGGACUGAGACACGGCCCAGACUCCUACGGGAGGCAGCAGUGGGGGAUAUUGCACAAUGGAGGAAACUCUGAUGCAGCAAUGCCGCGUGAGGGAAGACGGUCUUCGGAUUGUAAACCUCUGUCCUUGGUGAAGAUAAUGACGGUAGCCAAGGAGGAAGCUCCGGCUAACUACGUGCCAGCAGCCGCGGUAAUACGUAGGGAGCAAGCGUUGUCCGGAUUUACUGGGUGUAAAGGGUGCGUAGGCGGCUCUUUAAGUCGGGCGUGAAAGCUGUGGGCUUAACCCACAAAUUGCGUUCGAAACUGGAGGGCUUGAGUGAAGUAGAGGUAGGCGGAAUUCCCGGUGUAGCGGUGAAAUGCGUAGAGAUCGGGAGAAACACCAGUGGCGAAAGGCGGCCUACUGGGCUUUAACUGACGCUGAGGCACGAAAGCAUGGGUAGCAAACAGGANUANAUACCCUGGNAGUCCAUGCCGUAAACGAUG